UAGGGGAUAUUGGUGAAUGGGCGAAAGCCCGAACCAGCAACGCCGCGUGUGCGAAGAAGGCCUUCGGGUCGUAAAGCACUUUUACUCGGGAAGAGGAAGGACGGUACCGGGGGAAGAAGCCUCGGCUAACUGCGUGCCAGCAGCCGCGGUAAAACGUAGGAGGCGAGCGUUAUCCGGAAUUACUGGGUGUAAAGGGCGAGCAGGCGGUUGGAUAAGUUGGGUGUGAAAGCUCCCGGCUCAACUGGGAGAGGUUGCUCAAGACUGUUCGACUAGAGCGUGGUAGGGGAAGCGGAAUUCCGGGUGUAGUGGUGAAAUGCGUAGAUAUCCGGAGGAACACCAGAGGCGAAAGCGGCCUUCUAGGCCACGGCUGACGCUCAGACGCGAAAGCUAGGGGAGCAA
rnacentral:rRNA from 1 species